ACACAUGCGCAUCAAAGCUACGUUGUGUUCCCGGCAUUACUGAAUUAUUUGUGAACACAAGGCUAUUUGAGCUGUGUUCCAACUUAGUCUACACAAUGGACGAAAAGGCAACAACGAUGUCGUCAACAAGACCAGCCAAGGCCAAAAAAGAUGAGGAAAUUGUUGCAGAGCCAGCAGACGUUGAGGAAGAAGAGGAAGAGGAAGAAGAAUACACAGUUGAGAAAGUGGUGGACUCCAGGAUGAAGGGAGGUCGUAAAGAGUACCUUCUGAAAUGGAAAGGUUACCCAGAGUAAGAGUUAUUAAUGUAUAAUAUUCUUUUUUGUAAAGAUCCUGCAUUCUUAGAGCUGAGGCAGCAUGAAAAGAAAUUUGUUGUUUGAUGUUUUGAAUUGUUUUCUGACCCUAGCUGAUUAAGCUCAGAGAAUACUUGGGAACCAGAAGCAAAUUUAGAUUGUCCAGACCUUAUAGCAGAGUUUGAGGAGAAAAAGAAGAAAAAAGAUCAAGAGAAGAAAAGAAAAACUCCAAAUGGCACAGAUGAUGGUGCAGCAAAGAAGAAGAAGAAAGUCUCAGAAGAAGAAGAUAACAAACCAAGAGGUUUUGACAGAGGGUUGUUGCCAGAGAGAAUUAUUGGUGCCACAGACAGUUCAGGCGAACUCAUGUUUUUAAUGAAGUGGAAAGACAGUGAUGAGGCAGAUUUAGUACCAGCAAGACAAGCUAAUGUUAAAUGUCCACAAAUAGUGAUAGCUUUUUAUGAAGAACGACUCACAUGGCACACUCAUAAUGACAAUGAAGAGGAUGAAAGCAAGGAGGAUUUAUAAUCUAUCAAAAAAUAAUUUUGUCGGGGCCCAGGACAGGUUCAUUCUUUUCUUUCUUUUUUUGAUAUGGCAAGUGAUAGAGAUGGAUCUCGGAUAUAUAAAUCCCAUGUUGUGUAGGAUUGACAUCUUUUUCUGAUGCAAAUAUACAUUUGAAGAUUUGCAUUUUAAGAUCAGACUCAAGAAAGACCGUCAAGUCCUGUGAGAGAUGUUGCUGGAUUCUGUAUCAGGCUAUCAGCAGCCCAUUGCCCCUUUACUUCUUAUGAUCGCAAAUUAAUUUCAUCAGCAGGCAGUCUAUUUGAUCACUCACAAUGAUUCAUGUCAUAAUCAUGGUGCUCAUCUGUCGUUUAGGGUGUCAAAAGUUUAAACAGUUUUCCAUUCGUUCACUUCGGAAGUCCAUCUGUUGCAAUCUUUGUGUAUGUAGUAAUGUUCAUUGUUGUUGUGCCAUCUCUCUUUAUCAUUUAAAUAGUGUGUGUACAACAAUUUCAUCCUUCAUUAUGACAGCAAGUUGCUUUUGUUUUUAUUGAAAAUUUUGUUGAAAACACUGUAUAAUUCAUAGAUUUAAUUUUCAAAUGUGAGAGAACGGUGGGUAUAUGAUUGUGUGUAAGAGAAAUAUAUAUAAUCAGUACUCUGUAUGCUGUUGCAAUAGAUUUUUAGAGUAUUUCUGAAUGGAAAAAAAACAACAUGUUGAUAGAUCUGUAAAACUAUCAAUCUUCUCUCAAAAUCAACCCAAAACUUUUGUUGUACAUGUAUUAAAGUUUAUCAUUUUUGACAGAAAACAAGCCAUUAGAAAUUGUUGCUGUGAGAAUACUUUUCAUUUCAUUUAGAAGAAUGUGCAGUGUUCUUACUAGAUGUAUUAUGUAUAUAUGCAAAUACUUUAAGACAUGUAUCAAUUUAAUGAAUUUAUAGUGAUCAAAAGGGUUUCAUGAAAACUUGCUGUUGUGAAAGAUGUCAGUUAGGUUUGUUGUGCUGAUGUUAUUUUACCUUCCAAAAUGAAAGCCACUUUUGUAUGUCAUAUAUGAAGUAAAAAAUGAACUAUAUAAUAAACUCAGUAUGAAUUUUUUGGAAAAAUU
rnacentral:misc_RNA from 1 species